GACAGAGGGUGCAACCGUUGUUCGGAUUUACUGGGCGUAAAGGGCGCGUAGGCGGUCAGCACAAGUCAGUUGUGAAAUCUCCGGGCUUAACUCGGAAAGGUCAACUGAUACUGUGCGACUAGAGUGCAGAAGGGGCAACUGGAAUUCUCGGUGUAGCGGUGAAAUGCGUAGAUAUCGAGAGGAACACCUGCGGCGAAGGCGGGUUGCUGGGCUGACACUGACGCUGAUGCGCGAAAGCCAGGGGAGCGAACGGG
rnacentral:rRNA from 1 species